CCGAAGUGAGGCUCAGCAACCAGGCCUCGUCAUCCACAGAAAACAUUUCAUCAUCCUGUGUUUUAUUCAGAUAUAUUUUUGCGUUCCGUUUUUAAAAAUAACAGUUUAAAGUAUGUAAUAGACUGCGAUAAUUCAAGAAACAAAUUCCCCUUCGCGAGGUACGCAUCUGCAACGGAAGUGACUCUGUCUCUCCGGUAAUUUCAUCCACGCUACAACAUUUGGUGUCAGGAGUGGGAUGCCUUCGUGACCUGUCGUGUGGCCAGCGUUCCUAGCAGUCUUAAGUUGACGGAUUGGGGACCCAAGUGUACCCAGUAACCAUGUAAUUACAGAGAACCUAAGAGAGGAACACCAGCUGGCUAUGCCAGACCUGACCACAGCUGAUGAAAACAUACCCGGAGAAAACGCAAGGGCAGAAAACAUUGAGAGUGUGGCAGAAGACACUGAGAAUGUGUUGGAAAAACCAUGAAUAGCCUGCUAAAGUGUGAUGACGAUGGUACUGUGUAAAGAAGGCUGGUUGCUGAAGGUAGAUGAUUAAUUUUAUAGCAUAGUAUAGAAAAUUAUUUGGGAAAUAGAUGGGGAGGGAUUUUUGAGUUAAAGUAGAGAUGGCAAGUUCCACCACUUUGAUGGCAUUUCAGACUGCACACGGCAUCUGAAAGCAGUCACCCCAGUCUGAGGAGCUGUACCCUUUCCAGCAGUUGAGGUAGUGAUCAACGGAACAGAUCGUAAGGGGGUGCCACCGGGGAGAGGUCCUUGCAGACGUUUACGUAGAGGCCACCCAACCACCUUCCUGUACAUCGAUGAGAGAGCCUGUGGGUGCUCCUGGAAGGAGAGUUUCAGCGACCAGAGAAUAAAGGGCUGAAGACAAAAGAAUGUAAUUAAGAUGCAGUCAGCCUGCAGGCACACAAAAGGAGCUGCAUUCCUAAAGACUUGGAACAGCCUCUCUGCUUAACAUUUGGUAGGUAAUGCUAGGAUAGAUAUCGAGGUACAUUAAAUUGGGGGGUAAUAUUUUUGCUGCCCUAUUUGAGCAGAUCCUCUUAGGUUGGCCUUUCCUGAUACAAAUUUAAUUUGUCCAGGAGGGCCAAGAGGAGGGACUAGUUUAGGAGAAUGGGCAAAGUAGCAGCAAAUGAAAUACAAUGUUGGUGUUAGAGUGAAAUUUUUUGGGGUAGAUGAUUUGUUUACACUUAAAUGACUUUGGCCACCAGACUUCUAUUUUAACUGUUUGGCAAAGGACUGUGGAUUGAGUCCACCACAAUGGGCUUCCUAAAAGGUGUGAAUACCAGAUGCUUCUGGUAGUUUGACCUGCUGCUGUAGUUUCGAAGGCAGUAUCACCUCUUCAUUAUAAAUAUUAAUUGUCUUCUAUGUUAGCAUGGGAAAUGCCAAAUAAAUGUAUUGUAGACUUAACUUGCAUUGCUAAAGGCUGUGGAUACCAACCCAGACAUGUUGGCGUCAGAAGGAAAGGAUGAAAUCCAAAGGUGUGAUGUUUGUAUGUAGCUUCAAAAGGAAGCAUUGUCUAAGUAUUGUCUAUAACUUUUAAGUAGCGAUUGCCUUUGUGUUUAGCAUAUAAAUAUCAAGCCCACAUUUAGCUAGCAGACCUUUCUGCGGAAAACGUCUCGAGAUGCCUGCUGUACCUUGCUGUGUCGGAUAAAGAAGCUGCUUUGUAUCUACCAGUGACUCUGUCUCUCCGGUAAUUUCAUCCACGCUACAACAUUGGAAAGUGUAUGGUCAUGCACUUUGGUGGAAGAAAUAAACAGGCAGACUAUUAUUUAGGCUACAUCCACACUAGACUGGAUAAAUCCGUAACCGAAGCUUUUUCUCUUCAUUUUGACCCUCUGUCUACACUGAAAAUGGCAUUUUCCUCCCCCGAAAACGGAGAUUUUCAGAAAUGCUCUCCAGAGUGAAUAAAUCUGAAAACGCCUAAUGUCUGGCGUAGUGUGUACGGGGUAAGUGGCUAUUUUUAAAGCUGCUGUCAUGACGUGCCGGAACAAAUGGUGGCGGCAGCACGGCAUUUCAUUGUUUUCCUGAACGCAACCUCCAACACCCCCACAACAAUAUCUGACAACAGAUAUGUAACAGCCUGAUGUAACAUUGUAUGUAAAUACAAGAUAACACUGAUGCAGAU